GUAGUUUUUAUUUCUCUUUUAUCAGUUUGAGUGAGAGAGAAAAGAAAAAAAAAUGGUUGCAGAAACAUCAUAAUAGUUAUUAUAAUAAUAUAGAAUGAUAAUAAUAUAAAAUAGAUAAUAAAUAAAUUGUUAACAUGUAACAACACACGUACAAAAAAAAAGAACGAAAGAAAAAGAAAAGACGAGAGAGAAAAAAAGAAAAAACGUCGAUCUUUCUGAGCAAACCAACGCAAGAUUCAUUCAACCCGGGAGCUAGUUUCGGCCAUCGCCCGAACGGACCUCAGGUCAAGCCGGGGCUCUCGAAGGCUUGACUUUGUUUCUGUUGUUUUCGAGAGAGAGAGAGAGAGAGAGAGAGAGAGAGAGAGAGAGAGAGAGAGAGAUCGCAAGGAGAAAGAGAGUAAAGAGAGAGAUCGCAAGGAGAAAGCGAGCAAAGAGAGAGAGAGCGCGCCAGGAGAAAGAGAGUAAAGAGAGAGAGAGAAGGAGAGAAAAAGAGACAUAAGAAAUAAAGUCACACCCUUUUUCCGAGAAGCCUCAGCUUGCUAGAUUUCCUAACUUCCAAAACCGUAUCUACACAUAUAUACGUUCGACACAUGCGAAGCCUGCCAAGUGGUUGUGGUGGCAUAAUCUCGUUCCUUUUGUUCUGUUUUCUUUCCAACUUCCUAAGAAUCAUAUUAAAUAGAGCGGUGAUGAUUUUAACACAGUGAGACACCCCGAAUGCAAAUCAUACGGAAAUAUAUUUUUUUGGGACAUUUUUCGUAUUUUUUCCUAGCCAAACAGAUAUCAAUUCCGCAAAAAAUUUCAUCUU